rnacentral:misc_RNA from 1 species
GAUGAAGAACGCAGCGAAAUGCGAUAAGUAAUGUGAAUUGCAGAAUUCAGUGAAUCAUCGAAUCUUUGAACGCACAUUGCGCCCCUUGGUAUUCCGGGGGGCAUGCCUGUCCGAGCGUCAUUGCUGCCCUCAAGCACGGCUUGUGUGUUGGGCCCCGUCCUCCGAUCCCGGGGGACGGGCCCGAAAGGCAGCGGCGGCACCGCGUCCGGUCCUCGAGCGUAUGGGGCUUUGUCACCCGCUCUGUAGGCCCGGCCGGCGCUUGCCGAUCAACCCAAAUUUUUAUCCAGGUUGACCUCGGAUCAGGUAGGGAUACCCGCUGAACUUAAGCAUAUCAAUAAGCGGAGGA